rnacentral:rRNA from 1 species
GUGUGUGUUAGUGGAAGCGUCUGGAAAGGCGCGCGAUACAGGGUGACAGCCCCGUACACAAAAAUGCACAUGCUGUGAGCUCGAUGAGUAGGGCGGGACACGUGGUAUCCUGUCUGAAUAUGGGGGGACCAUCCUCCAAGGCUAAAUACUCCUGACUGACCGAUAGUGAACCAGUACCGUGAGGGAAAGGCGAAAAGAACCCCGGCGAGGGGAGUGAAAAAGAACCUGAAACCGUGUACGUACAAGCAGUGGGAGCACAGAGCAAUCUGUGUGACUGCGUACCUUUUGUAUAAUGGGUCAGCGACUUAUAUUCUGUAGCAAGGUUAACCGAAUAGGGGAGCCGAAGGGAAACCGAGUCUUAACUGGGCGUUAAGUUGCAGGGUAUAGACCCGAAACCCGGUGAUCUAGCCAUGGGCAGGUUGAAGGUUGGGUAACACUAACUGGAGGACCGAACCGACUAAUGUUGAAAAAUUAGCGGAUGACUUGUGGCUGGGGGUGAAAGGCCAAUCAAACCGGGAGAUAGCUGGUUCUCCCCGAAAGCUAUUUAGGUAGCGCCUCGUGAAUUCAUCUCCGGGGGUAGAGCACUGUUUCGGCAAGGGGGUCAUCCCGACUUACCAACCCGAUGCAAACUGCGAAUACCGGAGAAUGUUAUCACGGGAGACACACGGCGGGUGCUAACGUCCGUCGUGAAGAGGGAAACAACCCAGACCGCCAGCUAAGGUCCCAAAGUCAUGGUUAAGUGGGAAACGAUGUGGGAAGGCCCAGACAGCCAGGAUGUUGGCUUAGAAGCAGCCAUCAUUUAAAGAAAGCGUAAUAGCUCACUGGUCGAGUCGGCCUGCGCGGAAGAUGUAACGGGGCUAAACCAUGCACCGAAGCUGCGGCAGCGACGCUUAUGCGUUGUUGGGUAGGGGAGCGUUCUGUAAGCCUGCGAAGGUGUGCUGUGAGGCAUGCUGGAGGUAUCAGAAGUGCGAAUGCUGACAUAAGUAACGAUAAAGCGGGUGAAAAGCCCGCUCGCCGGAAGACCAAGGGUUCCUGUCCAACGUUAAUCGGGGCAGGGUGAGUCGACCCCUAAGGCGAGGCCGAAAGGCGUAGUCGAUGGGAAACAGGUUAAUAUUCCUGUACUUGGUGUUACUGCGAAGGGGGGACGGAGAAGGCUAUGUUGGCCGGGCGACGGUUGUCCCGGUUUAAGCGUGUAGGCUGGUUUUCCAGGCAAAUCCGGAAAAUCAAGGCUGAGGCGUGAUGACGAGGCACUACGGUGCUGAAGCAACAAAUGCCCUGCUUCCAGGAAAAGCCUCUAAGCAUCAGGUAACAUCAAAUCGUACCCCAAACCGACACAGGUGGUCAGGUAGAGAAUACCAAGGCGCUUGAGAGAACUCGGGUGAAGGAACUAGGCAAAAUGGUGCCGUAACUUCGGGAGAAGGCACGCUGAUAUGUAGGUGAAGUCCCUCGCGGAUGGAGCUGAAAUCAGUCGAAGAUACCAGCUGGCUGCAACUGUUUAUUAAAAACACAGCACUGUGCAAACACGAAAGUGGACGUAUACGGUGUGACGCCUGCCCGGUGCCGGAAGGUUAAUUGAUGGGGUUAGCGCAAGCGAAGCUCUUGAUCGAAGCCCCGGUAAACGGCGGCCGUAACUAUAACGGUCCUAAGGUAGCGAAAUUCCUUGUCGGGUAAGUUCCGACCUGCACGAAUGGCGUAAUGAUGGCCAGGCUGUCUCCACCCGAGACUCAGUGAAAUUGAACUCGCUGUGAAGAUGCAGUGUACCCGCGGCAAGACGGAAAGACCCCGUGAACCUUUACUAUAGCUUGACACUGAACAUUGAGCCUUGAUGUGUAGGAUAGGUGGGAGGCUUUGAAGUGUGGACGCCAGUCUGCAUGGAGCCGACCUUGAAAUACCACCCUUUAAUGUUUGAUGUUCUAACGUGGACCCGU